rnacentral:rRNA from 1 species
UACGGAGGGUGCAAACGUUGCUCGGAAUCAUUGGGCGUAAAGCGCACGUAGGCGGCUCGUUAAGUCGGAUGUGGAAGCCCCGGGCUCAACUCGGGAAGUGCAUUCGAAACUGGCGAGCUUGAAUAUGGAAGAGGGUCGCGGAAUUCCCGGAUGUAGAGGUGAAAUUCGUAGAUAUCGGGAGGAACACCAGUGGCGGAAGGCGGCUCACUGGCCCGUACUGACGCUGAGGUGCGAAAGCGUGGGGAGCAAACAGG